UGGGGUCGUCGCGUCGCGCGGGGCCAGUCCCGGGCCCUGCGCCCCGGCCGGGCAGGUCGCCGAGCCCGCGGGCCCGCACCAUCCGCGGCCACAGGAGCUGGGGGCGCCGCCACCCGCAGGCCCCGCCUGGCAGGUGCGCCCCGCCCCAGGCCGACGUGCAGAAAGGAACGCGCCGGCCUCGCCCGCCCAGGGCUGCGCGGCGGUGGGCGGGGCGCCCCGCGCCCCCUUCGCGCCCACUGGCUGGGGCGCGGCAGGGCGGGCCCAGCGCGGCCGGCCAUUGGCUGCGGGAACGCCUCGUUUGCAUACGGGGCGGGGCGGCGGGGCCCGGGCCGGGGCCGGCCGGGGGCGCGAGGGUGGCCGCGGCCGCCCCCGAAGUUGGUCCGGAGCCGGCUUCGGUCCCGCGCCGGAUCGCAGGGAGCCUCCCCGAAGUCACCAAGCCCAGGGCAGCCCUAGUGUUGUGAUCAUCAGCCAGCGGAACCAGCCCCUGGGUCAGCCCCCAGGACUUCUCACAGAAGACAGCGACAGCCCUGGCUCAGCACAGGCCAUGCCUCCCAGAGGCCAGCUCUGCCCACGUCCCUGGGCCGCCUUGAAAUCCUGGAGAGGAGUCAGUCCACAGCGGCGUCCAGUUCUGUGGGGCCAGGAUGCCUGUGGCAGGGCCGUGUCCUCUCUCCUGGCUGGAGUGUGGCACCAGGGAGAGGCAGGCUUGGUGCAGGCUUUACACCGACUUGCACUGGCCCUGGAGGGGCCCAGCGGGCUUGGCACGGGCCAGGGCCCACAGGGGAGCGGAGGCUGCGUGCGGGCUCCGGGCGAGAGUCUGCAGAGCCGACAUGCUGCCGGGCAGUGACUCACCGUGGGUGACCCUCGGGAAACCCGGGUGUGCUGGGCGUGGGCGGGCAUGCAGAGGCCAGCGGGGCGCCGGCACAGCUGGCUCUGCACUCUGGCUGCACCCUCCCGGGCAGGGGAGGGUGGCAGUGACCGUGUGCCUCCUGCUGACACCUCUGCAUCACAUGGGAGAGGCCUGGCUGUGGUCCUGCCGGGCCGCAGACUGGACGUUUGUUGGGGGAGUGGGAGGCUUGCCCCCCACCCCACUGUAGCAGCUUACACCCCGCUGUGCGAUGUAAACUCAAAAGUAAACUGCAAUUCACAGGUU